UAUAAGAAAAGUCUACCAUUUCCUGUUCAAUUGGCCUAUCCACAUCAGCAUCUCUUCUCUUAAAAUUCCACAUCAGCAACCUCAAUCUUUUAUUCUCUCAACCUUCUGUUAACGUAUCUAUUCCAAUUCCAAAAACGGUUUCUCACGUUCUCUACGGUUUCUAUUCCAAUUCCAAAAACUGAUCAUCUUACGUUCUCUACGGUUUCUAUUCCAAUUCCAAAAACUGAUCAUCUUUUUCUAUCUAUUUGUUUCUUCUUCCUCUGCAUUUUCAUAAAAAAUGGUUUCUUCUUCUAUCGAUUUUUUUCAAUUUUUUCAACCGUUGUUGCUUGAGGUUCGUCAACUGUGGAUGACUUCACGUAUGGCGUCUGCUGCUGCGUCGAUCUUGGCCGAAAGGAUGAUGCUCGCGGUGAUUGGUUUCGCUUUCUCAUGACCCUUCACAGUUGUCGGGUUUAAUUAAACGACAAAUCACGAUACAUAGCGCAUCCAAUCCAAAACGCUAAAGAGAUUUGAAGAAAAUACCGGUCUGUUAUGGGAGCACAAAAUCGAGAUUUAAUUAAAAAUCAUAGUGAAAAUAUCAACCACAAAAUACAGCAAGAAACAAUCAGAUGCACAAUUCAAUUUUAUUUAGAUUCAAACACAGUAAAGCAGAGCAACAAUAAAUCGAGUGAAUUUUACAGGGAAGGGUUCAAAAUAACUCAAUACGAAAUUGGAAUUUCAUCACAAUGAAGAUGAAACUCUCAAUUAGCAGAGGUUGCCCUUAGUGAGGGUAUGCACUUAGCUUCUGCUGGUACGUUCGGGUUGUCUUCUUUGUGUAUGCACUAAGCUUCUUGGUACGUUCGGGUUGUCUUCUUUGUGUAUGCACUAAGCUUCUGCAGGUACGUUCGGGUUGUCUUUUUUAUGUCCCCAGAGCGUAACACUUGCAGUCACAGGACUUUUUAUAGUGCAAUGUGAUUAGGGUUAGGGAUGGUGAGACCGUGGCAUCAAAUUUAAAUUCUUGACUUUUCUUUUAACUCCCCAUUUCGUGUGUGCAGUGAGGUGGUUACAACAACCACACUUGGCUUGAUGAUAUGCUGUCGAGAGGUAUAAUGCUUUGGCACUUGAAUCUGUUCAAAGAGGGAUGCUGCGGUGGGACUCUUUUUCGUUAGGGGGAGAAAGCGCCUAUCAAUCAAUACUCAAAAAUCUUGAAUUAUUGCCUAUUGAACAUUGAUGUUUGAGUAUUUUUCACUCUGAAGAUUAUACCAACAGAACUUAAUAUUGUAGGCAGUACAUGCUGUACCUUGGUUCUAAUGUUGUCUUAGGAUGGGAAAAAGAUGAGGCUUUGGCAUUGAAGGAUCAUCUAGAAUCAAUUACUCUUUUGAAACUCAUUGUUGAUGGUCGUGCGUCGCAUUUAGAUGGUGCUCUUAAAGAGUGUCUGCAAUUGAUACGGAACCUUAAGGAAGAACAUGAACAGAAAAUACAGGAAGUUAAGUGAUCCAUACUUUUUAUCACAACUCUAUUAGUGUGGCAUUUUUGCACUCCUCUAUGAUAACCAUGUCGUCGAUACAUGUUCAACACGAUACACCCUUGCGAACUUAUAAUCAUAUCACAUGGAGUUCACACUGUUUUUGAUUCGGUGAUGACAUGUUUCGGCAUAGAAGCAUUAUCAAGGUCUCGCCUUAUAGCGGAAAAGUGGAUGAUUCCAUCGAUAAUUAUUCUUGAUACUGGCCACAAAUCAGUUCGUCGGGCCAUGGGCAAUUUCUAUUCUCUUAGUGUAGUCAUUUCUUUUCAUCUUCCCAUCACCUCACUGUUUGAUUAAUUCACUACUAUAUUGCAGAAGAGGAAUAAGAUGAAAGCGGAUUGUAAGGUGAAGUGGAUAGCUGUAGCAGUGAAAAUCCGUUUUGACGGUAGCGACCUCAUAGAAACAGAAGGUUGCAGUUCCGGAACAGUUUCAACUGAACGAUGCACUUGAUCUACACACUUUGCUGAUUUUGAUGAAAGAGAUAGAGAAUAAGAUAGAUGAUAAUGAUCAUCAUCUAGAACAAUAACUGAAGCAUCUUGGGUUUGUGAGAAUUGCUGCUAUUCAUGCUUUUGUUUGCAUGUCCAGUCUUUAUGAUUAUGCAAAACAGAAUUCGGGAUCUUUGAGAUCUGCUGUUGGAACCGUCGAAGUGGUUCAAGGGUGGAAUCACCAACAUCUGUUAUAAUUGUGUGGAUAGACAUGUUGAAGCUGGACUUGGUGACAAAGUUGCAUUUUACUGGGAAGCCUCAAAAGAUUGUUAAGACUGCUUCAAAAUAACUUAUAGAACAUUUUUUUAUGGUUAGAUAUGAUUGUUAACUCAUUUUCUAAUAUGAUAUGUAUGCACUUUUAGAGUAAAUUAAUCAUUCACAUUGCAGGCCAACAAUUUAUUUCUGUCUGAAGCCUCAAACAUGGUGAUUGUGACAGGCCCCAAUAUGUAAGAAAAUGUAUGUUUCACAUUCAAAUAAUUGUUACAUACUGGAGGAUCGGUGAUAGUGAAACCCUUGAUGAAUUUUAGCUCUAUAUGUAAGACAGUGACUAUCUAUGAGUACAAAAACGUGUAUGGGCUUAUUAGUGAUAAGAAAGCGUAGUACAAACUACAGAGGAUAUAUAUAAUUUUUUUUCAAACGAGGUUGUUGUCUUUAAAAAUCCAAUAAACAAUUGAUGCUGAAACUAGAUUUAAUUAGGUGAUGUAAGCAUGUCCCGUUCAUUUCUCUUCAAACAAUUCCUUAAAACCCGACACCCGUUUUUUGAAAUUCUUAUGUGUCACUUAUAGUUUUAUUGUGAAUUAUUCGUGAACUGCACCAAAGAUUACUUUAUUUUUGUGUUGCUAUUUGUUUAGAUGAAGAAUAUAGUCCCGGAGUUUGUUUCUACAUUCCUUUCCCCCAGGAGCGGAAAGAGUACUUUCCUUCGACAAGUGUGUCUCAUAGUUAUUCUUGCUCAAGUAGGGUGUUAUGUCCCUGCCCGCUUCUUGAUUUUGAGGGUAGUUGAUCGUGUUUUCACAAGGAUGGGUGCAGUUGAUAAUCUUGAAUCAUACUCUAGCACGAUACAAUUUCUUGAUGCCUGUGUUUUGAAGCUAUUUGAUUCUGAUCAUACGGACUUUGAUUAUAUAUGAAGUUAUCCGGAAGUGUAGUUCAUGACAGAGAUGAAAGAGACAGCUUUUAUCAUGCAAAAUGUUUCACAUAGGAGUCUGAUUGUUAUGAAUGAACUUGGUAGGGCUACUUCCUCAUCUGAUGGAUUUGCAAUUGCAUGGAGCUGCUGCGAACAUCUUUUCUCACUCAAUGUGUAAUUGUUGCUUAAUUAUGGAGAAGGAAGCACAUGCAUUGUUAAAUGCUAAGGCCAAAAUCUGCUCAUUAAUGAUGUUGUCCAACUGCAUCUGCCGCUGCUCCAUCAAAGGGGUAAUACUAACUGGCUCUGGAAAUCGGCGGAGGAAAAAAGACAGAAGCUUGCCGGUAUCGCUAACAAGAAGUGAUUGAUAUGCAUGUUCUAUUCAUUUUAAAAAUUAUACUAAGCUUGACAUUGUUGCUUCUGAAUAUUAUUAUUGUAGAUUUGGGAGUGCCAUGAGUUUUUCUCUAUUGGUUGAUAACUAUUUCCUUUUCAUGCAGAAACAAUAUGACAACAAGAUUGUUGAUGAAUUUUUAGAGUGACAGCAAGAUUUUUACUUUCCAGCAAGAGUUGUUUUAUUCUUUUAUCACUACUACUCAAUUGUGGCUUACGGCUGCUGCUGGAGUGUUUGAAGCACGUCGCAUAUCAGAUGCAAUUUGAACUCGGGUCGUUCUCCUAGCGACAAAGGCGUCUUUAUGGAUGACGUUACUAAAAGUGAACUUUGGUGGGGGAAAUUACGUAUUAUAUAUCCCAGGUUCCAGUUGCACAAACUCCCGAUCCCAAGGGUAAGCCUGAUUGCUAUGGUGUCUUCUGCCUUACCUAUGAUUUCAAGGCUAUGAGAAGAGGAGACCAAAUCGUGGAAGAAAUUAAUUAACAUUGUUGUCUCAGAUGCUCCUGGAAUUUUUUUCAAUCAUCUACUUUUCAAGAGUUGAUUUCUUAUCUCAGCUUGCAUUCGGUAAUGGCAAAUUUUUGAAGAACUACAAGUAAGCGUUCAAUCUUAAUUUUCGUUUCCAUCGUUGUGGGGGUAUGUCAUGACAGAUCCUUGCCAUCAAUCUUCUAUUCUGAUGCUGAGUUUUGUGAUGAGGAAAUCAUGACGACUUAAAUACAUUUAUUAUAGGAUAAGUUUGUAAUCCUGACAGAUGCAAAACUACAUUGCUUUGCUUAAAGGUAACACAUUUGAAUAGAUUUAACAGCAGAAGAUGAGAAAAUAUGAAAAUGCACAGAAGUUUUACACCUCAUUCAUCCUUUAUGGAUCUAGAAUGGACAAACCAAGUGUGAUCUGCUCACAAUCUCACUGAAAGUUGAAAAAUGACUUCACAUUUACAGCAUCAAAUAUAUAUUCAAAAGUUGUGUAUCCUCUGUCCCCAAGGCGUAUCUCAAGUGAUUGAGCUGAUACACCUGAAGGAGUUAGAGAGGAGGUCCAUGAUUCAAACAUUGGCUACUGGUAUAACAUACUAAGAACUAACAUUUCGCUAUUAGAAGUAAUUGUGUAUACAUUACCAUAGUUGGAUUCCUUUUGUUUUUUAUGCUUUGUUGUUCACCUGCUUAAUAACACUUUUUGGAGUUGAGACAUUUUUCUUAUUUUGUGGAGACAUGUUUUUUUGUUGUGUUUUCUUGCUACAAAUGACAAUAAAUAUUGGCCUAUGAACAUCAUUUCUUUAUUGUUUUGUUUUAGUGUGCGGUCCUUCAAAUGAUUUAAGGUAGUCUAUCAUUGAUGUCUUUAUGGUUUGUAUGUUCCAAUUAUUCUAUUGAUAUCACAGUAAAGCAAGAACAUAAGCAUAAGUUACCAUUCUGCUUUAUUAUAGUAGGGAGUUUGAGAAUGACUUCUUAACCUCAUUUAAUUAGUAAAAGGUUAAAGGUAAAAUAAACCAAGAAAAACUACAAGUAACUUAUAAAAA